rnacentral:tRNA from 2 species
GCUCACAUAGCUUAACUAAAGCAUGACACUGAAGAUGUCAAGAUGGGCCCUAGAAAGCCCUGUAAGCA